CGACCUGCCGCACUCAGGUACCCCCGGCCCCGCCGCCUGCAGCCCCCCGAGGCCUCCUAGCGCCGUAGCUGGUGACAAAUAGCCUUUACCGUCCCCUCCAGCUCCCACUGACAGGUCUGAAGCCUUUCUGCUUUUGAUAAUACACUCUCUUGUUUCUCUUACUGUAAAGGGAAGUUUAUAACCAAUAAAAAAAAAAGGGUAUUUUUAUGAAGAUAAAAAAAAAAUAAUUAUAUAUAUAUAGAAUUAUCAGUGCUCCCUGAGAAAAAACAACAAACAAACGUGCUUUGAGAUUCUGCAGGAUAAAAAGAGAUAAAGAAGCGUAUUUUGAGAUAACAGAUGCAUUUUGUAUGGUUUCCUUUUCUAAACUCCUGGUUUGUACUACAGAUUGCAGAAAUCACUCCCCAGCCCCCCUCCUGCCCGCCUAGGGCAGCCCUGGGCGGCAGUGGAGGAUGAGGCAGAGAAUUCACCCGGGGCUCCAGAGCCUCACGACCAACUCCAAAGAUGCGGCAAAGAGACGGGCGGAGCGAGGGGUCCCUCCCGGCCGGGACACGGAGCCGGCACCGGCAGCAGCACCCCCAGAGCGAGACCCGCGCACGGCUCAGGGCAGCGCAUCCUCAGCCGUGCUCUCGGUGCGAGAAAAAAACCCCCCGAACCAUCGAGAGUUAAUUUCAGUUCCUCCCGAGCCCCUGUUCACAUCGGCGGGCACAGGCACAACCUGCUGAGAACAACAACGAGACCAUGGCACAGAUUUAACCUCCAGCCCCAGGGGAUCCGACACCCCGCGCAUCCGGCCCGCAUCGGCAGUUCUGACAAUGCACUGUUUCUACGGAUUCUCAUGCUUUUUCCAUUUUAUUGCUGGGAUUACAUGAAUUGUUGACUUUAUUUUUACACAAUAAAGCGUGAAGAAAGACA